AAGUCGUAACAAGGUUUCCGUAGGUGAACCUGCGGAAGGAUCAUUAUCGUGUUCCUGCCCUCUGGGUAGAAACCCCACCCUAUGUUUAACCCUAUCACUGUUUCCCUGGCGGGCCGCCUUAGGGCGCUGGCUCCGGCCGGAUCGCGCUCGUCAGGGACACCACAAAACCCUGUUUGCAAGUCUGUCCGAGUACUAUAUCAAUAGUUAAAACUUUCAACAACGGAUCUCUUGGCUCUGGCAUCGAUAACGCAGC
rnacentral:misc_RNA from 1 species